rnacentral:rRNA from 1 species
AGCGAACGCUGGCGGCAGGCUUAACACAUGCAAGUCGAGCGGGCCUUUCGGGGUCAGCGGCGGACGGGUGAGUAACGCGUGGGAACGUGCCCUCUGGUUCGGAAUAACUCAGGGAAACUUGAGCUAAUACCGGAUACGCCCUUUUGGGGAAAGGCUUGCUGCCGGAGGAUCGGCCCGCGUCUGAUUAGCUAGUUGGUGAGGUAACGGCUCACCAAGGCGACGAUCAGUAGCUGGUCUGAGAGGAUGAUCAGCCACACUGGGACUGAGACACGGCCCAGACUCCUACGGGAUGCAGCAGUGGGGAAUAUUGGACAAUGGGCGCAAGCCUGAUCCAGCCAUGCCGCGUGAGUGAUGAAGGCCUUAGGGUUGUAAAGCUCUUUUAUCCGGGACGAUAAUGACGGUACCGGAGGAAUAAGCCCCGGCUAACUUCGUG